AACUUUUGACGGUGGAUCUCUUGGCUCACGCAUCGAUGAAGAACGCAGCCAGCUGCGAUAAGUAGUGUGAAUUGCAGAAUUCAGUGAAUCAUCGAAUCUUUGAACGCAAAUGGCGCUCUUGGGUUCUCCCAGGAGCAUGUCUGUCUGAGUGUCGGAAAUCGUCCAUC
rnacentral:rRNA from 2 species